rnacentral:rRNA from 1 species
AAAGGUGUGCUAAUACCGCAUAAUCUCUCAGGAGAAAAGCAGGGGAUCGUAAGACCUUGCGCUUUAGGAGCGGCCGAUGCCUGAUUAGCUAGUUGGUAAGGUAAAGGCUUACCAAGGCUUCGAUCAGUAGCUGGUCUGAGAGGACGACCAGCCACACUGGGACUGAGACACGGCCCAGACUCCUACGGGAGGCAGCAGUGGGGAAUUUUGGACAAUGGGGGAAACCCUGAUCCAGCCAUGCCGCGUGAGUGAAGAAGGCCUUCGGGUUGUAAAGCUCUUUCAGCCGGAACGAAACGGAUACGAUUAAUACUCGUAAUUAAUGACGGUACCGGCAGAAGAAGCACCGGCUAACUACGUGCCAGCAGCCGCGGUAAUACGUAGGGUGCGAGCGUUAAUCGGAAUUACUGGGCGUAAAGGGUCCGCAGGUUGUUUUGUAAGUCAGAUGUGAAAGCCCCGGGCUUAACCUGGGAACUGCGUCUGAAACUACAAGGCUAGAGUAUGGCAGAGGGGGGUGGAAUUCCGCGUGUAGCAGUGAAAUGCGUAGAUAUGUGGAGGAACACCGAUGGCGAAGGCAGCCCCCUGGGUCAAUACUGACGCUGAGGGACGAAAGCAUGGGGAGCAAACAGGAUUAGAUACCCUGGUAGUCCAUGCCCUAAACGAUGUCAACUAGUUGUCGGGCCUUUACGGGCUUGGUAACGUAGCUAACGCGUGAAGUUGACCGCCUGGGGAGUACGAUCGCAAGAUUAAAACUCAAAUGAAUUGACGGGGACCCGCACAAGCGGUGGAUUAUGUGGAUUAAUUCGAUGCAACGCGAAAAACCUUACCUACCCUUGACAUGUAUCGAAGCCCGCAGAAAAGCGGAGGUGCCCGAAAGGGAACGAUAACACAGGUGCUGCAUGGCUGUCGUCAGCUCGUGUCGUGAGAUGUUGGGUUAAGUCCCGCAACGAGCGCAACCCUUGUCAUUAAUUGCCAUCAUUUAGUUGGGCACUUUAAUGAGACUGCCGGUGACAAACCGGAGGAAGGUGGGGAUGACGUCAAGUCCUCAUGGCCCUUA